CAGGUUACCUAUGAUAGGGCAAAUUUGCAGAAGGACAUUUGAAUUUCGAACUAUCGGAUUUUUGGUCAAGAAAAAUUCUCUCAGAGAGACUCUGUAUCUUUUAUCAUAUGAAUCACUGUUUGGAUUGUUUCAUGCAACUUUCAACAAUGAAUAUCAACGAUUUACCUGAUGAUUGUUUUCUUUUGAUUUUUGAUCAGUUUUAUCAAUUGCGCCAAUUUGCUACAUUGAUGAAAGUUUGUAGGCGCUGGAAAACAUUGGCGGAAAAGGGACUGAAGAAGAUCAUUCACUUAGACGUUAUAUUGGCAACUACUAUAAUGCAGAUUGAUGAUUCUCUUAAACAAAGUCAUUUUCCAUCGACUCGUAAAUGUAUUAUCACAAUAUAUUGUGAUAACUUUCUGCUUAUAAACAGAAAGCCCUUGAAGAAAAUUAAACUCUCUAAACUUCUUCCUAAUGUUAAGAUUAUCCAUCUUGAAAAUUUCAGUGCAAACUGCUCUUGUGCUUUCUUAGCUCAUUUACUGGCCAACGCAAACCAAAUUAAAGGCUUGAGCUGUUUAGAUUAUCCGUUUGAAAUGAAUCACGAAUGUAAAAUUUUAAAACGAGAAGAAAAAAGAAUAACAUCAUUUUUGAGUGAUAUUCAAUUUCUAGGAAUUAGUAAUGACCUAAUAGUUACAAGUUAUCUCAGGACUUUUGGUCAUUUCAAGAAAUUGAAAUCUCUUGGAAAUGCUAUUGGAAAUUACUUCCAAAGUGUGAAUUUACUCACAUGUUUUGAAAUUUGCCCAGGAUCUGCCGAAUCUCGAGCGACUUGUUACUUUUUGUGGUGAUGAGUUUGAUUAUCAUUUUGUUCAACUCGGAAGCCAAUUACCGAUAUUUGGAAAUCUUUUACAUCUUCAGCUUGAAGAUACUUCAAAAAAUGGAUCGACUGUUAUAAAAUUCUUGAACCUGUGUCCAAAUUUACUCAACCUGUCUCUGGGCGCUCAUACUCAUCCGAUGAUUCUAUUUAAUCAAAUCAACAAAAACUUCAAUGUCCAAAGAUUGAAUCUAUUUCUUAAUUGGGAUCGAGAAAAGAUACUAGAAACUAUCGAAAAGUUUCCAAACUGUCGAUACUUAAGUAUAUGUGGUUAUUAUGCUUCGCUAUCUUCACAUGAGUUGAUCCAGAUUAUGAGUGUAUUACCUCAUUUGUCAUUAUUGUAUACCAAAUAUGAUACGACUGAUUUAGCAGAAAAACGAAUCGUGAAAAACUAUUGUCACUCACGAAAUCCUAAAAUUGAUGUUUACUUUGGGUCUACAGAUGAGAAACUAUUGAUGUCUAAUGAACUUUAUCGAAAGUUUGAUAAUUCAUUUCUAUAAAUGGAUGAAGUCUAAGAAUUGCACGUUUCUUAUUCUCCAUUUAUAAUCCAACCUAGCAAAAAAACGAACUUAUUUAGAGAGAUCUUAGUAGUAGAGUAGAGAGAUCUCGAAUCACAUAAAGAAUCUCAAUAGUGUCGCUCAAUGUACCGAUGCUUUUUGGCUUUUCUAAAAAGAUUAAUCGAAACCAUUUCCCUCACUCAAACCAGUUGUAACCCUUGAAAGUGCUUACAAUUAUACCAAAGAGGAAGUGACUUAUGCUUUGAAAAAUAUAAUCAAAGAUCAAAUCGAUUCCAUAUUCAAGUUUUACUUUUCUGGUGCCGAUCCAAAUAACAUUUAUGAUCUAAAAUCGCGUUCUAUAAGAUUAACUUCCGAUGUAAACUUUAAUUGUCCUUCGUUAAUUUUAUUCAAUCUCUCGGCCAAACCAUGCCCUGUACUUUAACGAUUCUUCAAUUUUAGUGGUUGAAUUUUCAGAAUUUUAUAAAUCGUGGUUUUUAAGGACAAAAC